UACGUAGGGUGCGAGCGUUGUCCGGAAUUAUUGGGCGUAAAGGGCUCGUAGGCGGUUUGUCGCGUCGGGAGUGAAAUCCACUGGCUUAACUGGUGGCUUGCUUUCGAUACGGGCAGACUGGAGGUAUGCAGGGGAGAACGGAAUUCCUGGUGUAGCGGUGAAAUGCGCAGAUAUCAGGAGGAACACCAGCGGCGAAGGCGGCAUCCUGGACUGGUCCUGACACUCAUGAGCGAAAGCGUGGGGAGCGAUCCGG
rnacentral:rRNA from 1 species